CAGUAGCCACGGUAAUACGAAGGGUGCAAGCGUUACUCGGAAUUACUGGGCGUAAAGCGUGCGUAGGUGGUGGUUUAAGUCCGUUGUGAAAGCCCUGGGCUCAACCUGGGAAUUGCAGUGGAUACUGGGUCACUAGAGUGUGGUAGAGGAUAGUGGAAUUUCCGGUGUAGCAGUGAAAUGCGUAGAGAUCGGAAGGAACAUCUGUGGCGAAGGCGACUAUCUGGGCCAACACUGACACUGAGGCACGAAAGCGUGGGGAGCAAACAGGAUUAGAUACCCGCGUAGUCCCUGUCUCUUAUAA
rnacentral:rRNA from 1 species